UACGGGGGGAGCAAGCGUUGUCCGGAAUCAUUGGGCGUAAAGAGCGUGUAGGCGGCCAGAAAAGUCCGCUGUGAAAACUCGAGGCUCAACUUCGAGCUGUCGGUGGAAACUUUCUGGCUAGAGUCCGGAAGAGGAGAAUGGAAUUCCUGGUGUAGCGGUGAAAUGCGCAGAUAUCAGGAAGAACACCCGUGGCGAAGGCGGUUCUCUGGGACGGUACUGACGCUGAGACGCGAAAGCGUGGGGAGCGAACAGG
rnacentral:rRNA from 1 species